CACGCGCGCGAGGGAGCUCGCGCGGUGGGGAGGCGGCGGCCGAGGCGCGUGCGCUAGGCAGCGUCGGCGGCCGUGUGAGGAGGCGGCGGCGGCCGCCGCCGCGGGUGCGCGAGGCUGCGGCCGAGGGCGUGUGCCGGCGCCCGCUCGCAGGAGGUCUACAGCCGGCGGCCAGUUCUCUUCCACGUGGAGGCGGCCUCUCACAGCCGAGGGCAAGACAAGGCAGAAAAGGGGAAGUUGUUGGCAAUGGAGGAAAUCAUAUCAAUGGAGCUAAUUUUGAUGGAAGAGUUCAACAGAUAAUUUGAUUCUUGUCUUGCUAUCUUAUGAAAAUGGACAUGAAAACUUAGAGCUAGCUAAAUCUAGAUGAAACUUAGAGUUAGAUACCCAGAUAUACUUAGAUAUACUUGAACUACUAGCUAGUAUGCAUUUUAAUCUUGGGGCUGCAUUCAGUACGGUUGCUUUUUCGUCUCUCUAUAUAACUUUGCUAUUUAGGACGAUUUACCUAAAUGUGCCACUUGUGUUGUGAUUUGUAGGCCUACUCACAGCGAUUUGCAAUUAGUUGUUAGAGUUGAGUCUUUUUUAAGUUUGCCGGAUGGAGGUCCAAAGCAAUACCUCUAGGGUAAAACCUUGCCAACCCAAAAUAUUGACAUGCAUAAGUAUGAUCUGCUGCAAGUUGUUAAUUUCAUUGCUGAACACUACACGUGGGGAUCUAAGCAAUAUGUGAGUUUGUGACGUUCUUUGGAUGAUGGUUUUGUUGAGAUAAAAUGAUGGUUUUGUUGAGAUAAAAUCCGAUGAACAUUUGCGGGAGUGGUUUCAGCUCAAUAUAGAUAAGGGGGUUGUGUGCAUUGAUGCCAAAAUCAAUGAUUUCAAUGGUCCAUUGCAAUUUUCACCCACAAAGCGUAGGUUUCAUUCUUCAGUAAGGUCUAGAGCAUGCAUAAGUGAGAUUGCCACAAAUGAGGGAGCCAAAAAAAAAGAGAGCCACAAAUGAGGAAGCUACUAAUGAGGGAGCCAAAAAAAAAAAAGAGAGCCACAAAUGAGAGAGCCACUAAUGAGGGAGCCAAAAAAAAGAGAGCCAAGAAUUCCAAAAAAAAGGGGUCAAAUGAUAAGGAUGCAGUAGGCAUUGAUGAUGAGGGCAUAUACUCUGACAAUGAAUUACUUGUGGUACAUAGUGAUAGCAGCUAUGAUUCUGAUUUGUCCGAAUCUUCCGACUCUGAUUGUUCUGACCCUAAGUUUGAUCCUGAUCAAGAAAUUAUUGAUGAGGGUGAUGAUGAUGAUGUACCUGUCUUUGCAUAUGAUGUUCAGGAUCCUUGUAUUGAUGUUGGUGUAGUGUUCCCAGAUGUGGAUCAAUGCAAGUUAGCAGUUACCCAUCAUGCUAUCUUGAAUGAUCAUGCUUUUGAAACUGUCAAGAAAGACAAGAAAAGGUUUAGAGCCAUUUGCAAAAGAGCAGAAGAGGGUUGCAAGUGGUGUUUUUUUUUUGCAUCAACAAGCCCUAAGUACAUUGGAUGCAAGGUCAAGACAAGUGGACCAAAGCACACUUGUGGAUCUUUCAAUAAGUGUGGUGAAACAAUGGUCACCACUAAGUGGGUAGCUGAUCGAGUGGUGGACUUGUUGCGGGAUAACUCCUCAAGGGGAGCAAAGGAUUUGCAGGAGGAGUUGAAUAGGAAGCAUCAGAUUGAUAUCCCAUAUUUCAAGGUCUUCAGAGGUAGAGAGAGCACUUGACAUUAUAAAUGGAAAGUGGGAUGACAGCUACGAUCUGCUGCCUACCUAUCGUGAAGAGCUAUUGAGAUCAGUGCUAGGCAGUGUAGUUGAGCUGGACACUAAAGAGUGCAAUGGUGAUGUCUGCUUUAGGAGGUUCUUUGUUGCUCUUAAACCCUGUAUCGAUGGGUUUUUUGGAAGGAUGUAGGCCUUACAUUGCUAUGGACUCCACUCACUUGACUGGAAGGUCCAGAGGCCAGUUGGCUUCGGCUGUUGCAAUUGAUGGUCAUAACAGGCUAUUUCCAGUGGCAUAUGGGGUGAUUGAGACAGAAUCUAAGGAAAGCUGGACUUGGUUUGUUCAGAAUGUGAAGAAAGCUAUUGGUACUCCAAAAGGUUUGGUCAUUAGUACGGAUGCAGACAAAGGAAUAGAAAGUGCUGUAGAUGAUGUUUAUCCAGGAGUGGAACAUAGAGAAUGUAUGAGGCACCUCUGGAAGAACAUGGAGAAGAAGUUCCAUGGCCCUCUAUUUGCCCAAAAUAUGUGGGCGGCUGCCAAAAGCUUCACAAAUGAGAAGUUCACAUACCACAUAGGCAAGAUAGAGGAGAAGUGUCUUGAAGCACUUUCUUGGUUGGAUGACAAUCAUCCAUACAUUUGGAGUAGAAGCAAGUUUUCUAACGAGUGCAAGGUAGAUUACAUCAAUAAUAAUCUUUCUGAAUGUUUCAAUAGUUGGGUCUCAAGAACCAAGGAUCGACGGAUUGUGGACAUGUAUGAUGCAAUAAGAUAGAUGAUCAUAACCAAGUUUGUUGCAAGAAACAACUUUGCUGGUAAGAUGGAGGGAAGAAUCAUUCCAGCUAUUACAAAGUCUUUGAAUGCUCAAAGCAAGAAUAUCAAGGACCAUGAGGUAUUGAUAUGUGGAGCUGGGACAGCUGAAGUAACUGUGGGCACCAUUAGGCAUGCCGUACAUUUGGAGCAACAAACAUGUUCUUGUAGGGUUUGGCAAGUGACUAGAAUGCCUCGCAGUCAUGCUUUAGCAUUCAUUGCAAAGCUUAGCACGGAUGUCCAUAUGGAUGAUUUUGUGGAUGAUUGCUUCUCCGUUGAGAAGUUCAAGAAGGCAUAUGCAAGGACUUUCAAUCCAAUGACAUCGAAGGAUAGAUGGGCACAUGUUGAUCUAGGCUACAAAAUCAAGAAGCCUAGUGUAGGAUCGAGAUGUCGACUAG